CCACAGCUCUAUUUUCUUUAUUUUCAUAAAGUGGCCACACCCGGUCUAACGGUCCUCACCCCCUUCCUGAGCCACUCCCACCUCCCCCUGACCCUCAGACCACUGGUUUCUACCUCUGAAUACAGAUCAAUAGAGAUCCAUCUGAAAAGAUGCCAUCAAUCAAAGAGGACUGUCAAACAAACAUAAAAAGACAUAAAAAAACCUGCAAUUUUCAAAGUUUUUUGUUUGCUUAUCAACUUGAAUAAAUUAAUUUUACUGUCAAACAAAACAUAAAAAAGACAUAAAAAAACCUGCAAUUUUCAAAGUUUUUUGUUUGCUUAUCAACUUGAAUAAAUUAAUUUUAUUUUUAAUUAAAAUGAGCCAGACUGACCUCUGAAAUAUUAAACUAAUUGCUGAAUAUUCCACCCAAGAUAAUGUGAUAGCACUCUCAUUUAUAUUAUUAAUUCAGUUAUGAAUCAAUUAUGUAUCAAUUUUGUUUGGAUUAUUUCUUUCAGUGUCAUUAAUUACUUUUGCUUCGUGAGACACAGGGAAAUUUCUCCAGUUAGGAGAUGCAGUGGAUCACAAUUUGAGAUGGUACGUCUGUAACAGACUGAGGUGUCCGCUCAUGUUUGGAAGUGCGGAUGAGUCGAGUCAUCUCCUCUCCGGGAACCCGCGGGCUGUUGUUCACCGGCCGCUUGACUCUCACGCAAGGCUGUCUAUCACGUCCCCGUGCAACACACCCCGAAAACAGAGAAAGAAGCUAAGCUCAAUUGAUUUUUUUCGGUUUAUUGUAAGAGUCUGCUGAAGAAAGGAGCAGCCAGCACAUCAUCCAACACAGAUCUCUGAAAGUAGGUGACUGAGCACCAUUGUGUGCCAGUGUUUGAUUGUGGCCUAGCAUCUUUUGUACCCUUCAAAUCAGUUAUUGAAAAGUUAUUGUAUUUCUAAUGUACAAUAAAAAGAAAAAAAAAAGUGCACCAUGAUGGUAUCAUGGCAACAUUCUUAACCAUGAUUUUAUUCUCAUUAAACUAAAGCAACAUUCAUGCUGUGUUGGAAUUUCUGUAAUUAUGAAUUUUUUUUAAUGAUAACAUUCAUAACAACACAUGGACCCAACUGCAGUUGUGUUGUUGAUAGCAGCAAAACAAUCAGUCACUACAAUAAUUCACUUCUUUAUUGUUUUCCAAAAUUUAAAAGAAUUAAGCCUAAACAUCAGGCAUAAACCCUAAGUAAUAAAUAUAAUUAAAAGUAACACAUUUGGGGGGAAUUAAAGGUGAAAUUAAAUGACUAAAUGAAUUUAAAAUAAAUGAAUGAAUGAAUGAAUGAAUGAAUGAAUGAAGUCAGAAUUCAGGGAGGAAAUGGCGCAAAUCAA
rnacentral:lncRNA from 1 species